UUCUGGGACAGACACGCGACGCAUCUGGCUCCAACCAAAUAUUUUCAGUCACUCGGAUUCCAAGGAGUGCCUGGAAGAAGUCUGUGUCUAGCAACCUCUGAACAGAGACAUGGAAAGGCCUUCAGCCUCUGGGGAGAUAUGAGUUACAGACCUAAAGUCCAGACUUUCAGACAUGGUAAGCCUUUUCACUUGCAUGGGCUUUGAAAGGGGGUGCUAAAGCUCUAGAGUUCCUGCUGCAGGGAGUUAAUCUUCCAGAAAAGGCCUGCAAAGGCUCUGAGAAGCUUCACCCAGCCCAGCUUUCCUCAGAUCUCCCUCAGGCAGCUGUGACUCCUUAGUUCCCUCUUGGCUCCUCCCCAGUCCAGAUUAGCCCUGGUUGCAUUGUCAUUUCACUGCCAGUCAGAGCACAUCUAUGGAGCAGAGUCACCUCUGGAGGCUCAGGAGUCUGGGGCCCCAGCCCUUUGAUAGCUGAGUUUUAGAAAUACCUUGAGAUUUGGGAGGGUACCAGGGAACAGGGUCAAGGGUGCUAAGGAACCGCUGGAGUAAGGAGCUGUGUUCAGGGGCAAAGGUGAUUCACAGGGGAUGCUAAUCCUUCAGUCUACAGGGUUUACUGAUCCUACCUAUUGUUUGGUCUUUGAGGGCAGGAAUGCUAGGCCUGAGAGAGGGAGGCACUGAUAGUAAUAAUGACAGCUACUUUUUAUCCAGACCAUCUAUAUGUCAGACACCAUACGUACACCCUGUCAUUUAAUCCUCCAAUAACUCUGUGAGAGAGCUAGGAAUAGUUGCAUUUUAUGGAUUAAAUAGUUUAAAAAAAAAGAAAAACACCCUGAAGCUCAGAGAAGUUGCCCAUAACCAUUGAGAGAGAAUUGGAAUUGAACCCAAUCCCAUAUCUGUGUAUCUCAAGCCAGUGGUAGACUGCCUAGAAAUAUAAAUUUUGUCCUCAUCAUCAAUACUUGGGCUACCUGAUGUGAAGAGGCG
rnacentral:lncRNA from 1 species